CCUACGGGAGGCUGCAGUAGGGAAUCUUUCACAAUGGGCGAAAGCCUGAUGGAGCAACGCCGCGUGCAGGAUGAAGGCCUUCGGGUUGUAAACUGCUUUUAUAAUCGAGAAAUAUGAUGGUAACUUAUGAAUAAGGAUCGGCUAACUACGUGCCAGCAGCCGCGGUCAUACGUAGGAUCCGAGCAUUAUCCGGAGUGACUGGGUGUAAAGAGUUGCGUAGGUGGCAUAAUAAGUAGCUAGUGAAAUCUGGUGGCUCAACCAUUCAGACUAUUAGCUAAACUGUUAAGCUCGAGACCGUUAGGGGUAACUGGAAUUGCUAGUGUAGGAGUGAAAUCCGUAGAUAUUAGAAGGAACACCAAUAGCGUAGGCAGGUUGCUGGGACGGUUCUGACACUAAGGCACGAAAGCGUAGGGAGCAAACGGGAUUAGAUACCCGAGUAGUC
rnacentral:rRNA from 1 species